rnacentral:rRNA from 1 species
UACGAAGGGGGCUAGCGUUGUUCGGAUUUACUGGGCGUAAAGCGCACGUAGGCGGUUUGUUAAGUCAGGGGUGAAAUCCCACAGCUCAACUGUGGAACUGCCUUUGAUACUGGCAAGCUAGAGUCCGGAAGAGGUAAGUGGAACUCCUAGUGUAGAGGUGGAAUUCGUAGAUAUUAGGAAGAACACCAGUGGCGAAGGCGGCUCACUGGCCCGGUACUGACGCUGAGGCGCGAAAGCGUGGGGAGCAAACAGG